rnacentral:rRNA from 1 species
UUGGCUCAGAAGCAGCCACCAUUUAAAGAGUGCGUAAUAGCUCACUGGUCGAGAGGCCCUGCGCCGAAGAUUCCCGGGGCUAAAGUAUGGAACCGAAGCUACGGAUGCGGUACUUGUACCGCGUGGUAGAGGAGCGUUCCCAUUGGGUUGAAGUCGUCCUGGAAGGGACGGUGGACUGGUGGGAAGUGAGAAUGUUGGCAUGAGUAGCGAAAAGAUAGGUGAGAAUCCUAUCCACCGAAAGCAUAAGGAUUCCUGAGCAACGAUCGUCGUCUCAGGGUAAGUCGGGACCUAAUCCGAGGCAUGGAGCGUAGGAGAUGGACAACUGGUUGAUAUUCCAGUACCGGCAGCAAUCGUUUGAACGAUGGAGUGACGCAGGAAGGCAGGUCCGCGCGAGAAUGGUAGAUCGCGUACAAGCGUGCAGGCUGGUGCACAGGCAAAUCCGUGUACUGAGGCUGAGGCGUGAUGUGGAGGGAACUUGUUCCCGAAGGGAUUGAGCCUACGCUGCCGAGAAAAGCUUCUAGUGAGAAAGCUGCCGCCCGUACCGUAAACCGACACAGGUAUGCGGGGAGAGAAUCCUAAGGUGCGCGGGAGAACCCUCGUUAAGGAACUCGGCAAAAUGUACCCGUAACUUCGGGAUAAGGGUAGCCACAGUGGUGAAGGGACUUGCUCCUGGAGCCUAGUGUGGUCGCAGAGAAGAGGCCCAAGCGACUGUUAACCAGAAACACAGGUGCCUGCGAAAGAGAAAUCUGAUGUAUAGGUGCUGACACCUGCCCAGUGCUGGAAGGUUAAAGAAGGAUGUCCGGGUUCGACCCAAAGCAUUUGACUGAAGCCCCAGUGAACGGCGGCCGUAACUAUAACGGUCCUAAGGUAGCGAAAUUCCUUGUCGGGUAAGUUCCGACCCGCACGAAAGGUGUAACGAUUUGGGCACUGUCUCAACGAGGGACCCGGUGAAAUUGAAAUACCUGUGAAGAUGCAGGUUACCCGCGACUGGACAGAAAGACCCCAUGGAGCUUUACUGUAACCUAAUAUUGGGUUCUGAUAUUCGACGCACAGGAUAGGUGGGAGGCUUGGAGCAUGGUCCUCUGGGAUCAUGGGAGCCGCCGUUGGGAUACCACCCUUCGAAUAUCGGGAUUCUAACCGCAGGAGCAACGAUCCUCGGGACAGUGUUAGGCGGGCAGUUUGACUGGGGCGGUCGCCUCCUAAAGAGUAACGGAGGCGCCCAAAGGUUCCCUCAG